AUAUACAGAAAUGCUGCUAUAUACCAUAUAAAAAGCUUACUAUUUGGGACACAGGUUUCCUUACAAAAACAAGAAUCAUGGGCAUAAGCAACUGGUAGAAAGACGAGGUUGAACGGUAAGACGAUGUAGAAAGAUAUGAUGUGUUGAAAGAGAAGAAGAAUCAGAAAGUAAAGUUGAUGUUGAUCCUGAAGCCUUCAAGUGUUAACAAAACAUCAAAACUGUGCUAUGAUCUCUCACCAAUUGGAAAGAAAGUUUGGGUCAUAAGGUAAAACUUAUUCAAGAUCAGUUUGACAAAGAUCCUUGGGAGAAUGGUUCUAAGGAUGA